UGCUCUGAUUUUUAACAGCAAUAUAGUUUCUUAACCUCAAUAGUAUCUGUAUAUUUUAGCAAAUAUUUGAUAUCUAAUAAGAAGGAGAAAACCACACACAACCAUCUAUAUUAUGUAGGAAAUUUGGUGCUCUGGGCUAUGCAGUAUGAUGGAGAUGGAGAUGGAGUUGGGAAAAUCCUCACCCCUUUUCUAUUGAAUAAUUGUGCUUUUUCUGUACUCUAUUUGGGUCCUCUGUGUUCUCAUCAGGUGGAUGUAUGACCUGGGGCUGUGGGACCUUCUUGAAGCUCCAGCAAGAGGUGACUGUGGGUCUACAGGGAGGAACAUUAGGGCAAGAGCCAGGAGCUCUUCCUGGGUACCAGUGUUCUGAGCCAUCCAGGGUGAGUUCCUUUUCCUGCCUUGACCUGCACAUCACUCAGGUAUUCACUAUCAUUUUUCACACAUGCAGUGGCCCAGGGCCUAGGGAAGUCAUGGUAAUCAUUGCACAGUUUAGGUCCUUGUGGAGGUUAUGGUGCCCUCUGUAGAGCCACUUUUCUGUAUAAGAAGAAGGCCUCACUGGAGGCAUCCAAGGCUCCUCAAAGAGGAGCUGGGCCUGGUAUAAUGGGCAGGACUUAGGGGGCUGCAUGAGAGAAGAGGGAACAGGGGUCCAGCCUGCCUGGAGUGAAGAAUGGAGGCUUCCCAGGAGUGUAGACAGGGCUCUGGGAUACCUGACUAGACACUACAGGGGUCUGAGGCCAUCAAGAUCUGGAAUCAAUUGGGGAAGGUUACAUUUGUUUUAAUCAGUCGCUGCAUAGCAACUUUAUACUCUGAAAUUGUACAAAUUUGGUAAGAAGGGAUGUGCCCUGCAUGCCUCUCUCUGGCCAUGGGGGCAGGGAGGAAGCAGGAGCACUGACAGCAGUGAAAUGGCUGAUGUUAGUUCCACAAACCUUCAUUAAAGUGGGAAGCAGACAUCAUGGGGAAGGAUUUACCAGUAAUUGAGCCUUCAUGCUGUGUAGAAAUCAGACACCCACUUUAGUUUCUCUCUGACUGCAGGUCCUAUGGACUCCCAUUUGCCAUGGGAGUUCUGCCUUCAUUCUAGAGUCUGUCUGUCUGUCUCUUCUUUCGACAGGCUGGAGCACAAUGGCAUAAUCAUAGCUCACAGUAGCCUCGAACUCCUGAGCUCAAGCAAUCUGCCCACCUCAGCCUCCCAAGUAGCUGAGAUUACAGGGAGGCAGCAGAUCGUUAAAAUAAUCUGGAUAAUAGAUGACCUGAAGACCCUGUACUGAUCACUGUGGUACAGGAACACAUUUGGAGAGUAUGCACCAUUCUAUGGACAACAGACCCCUUGGGAUCAAGGGUAGGAGUUGAGCCGGUGAGAGAUGCAAGUUAAUUCCAAUUCAUAAUUGUGCUUUUUCCAUAUUGUUUGAAAUUUUGUAUUCAAGAAAAAAUAUUUUGAUAAAACACUGAAACAGAAAAUACUCAUGAACAGAUUGACAAAAGUGAGGCGCACAUAUAUUCAUUAAUUUGUAAAAGCAUUAAUUCUACCUUGUGAAAGAAGUAGAUAAAAAUUGAAGUGACAUGAUAUUUACUUGUGGAUAUAUGUUUGGGUCUUCUCUAGCUCUAUCCCAAAUGCACAGUCACAGGUGCAUCUUUAUCUUCUAUUCAGACAGGGCUGAAAUCAAUCUCAGUUUUAGAUAUCCCAGAAAAUGAAGGAUAGAGGGAGAUUGCUAUCAUUAGGUGAAUAAUUCUUAAAUGAAAAACCCUGGCUAUUUUUUUGAGCCAAGCUCCCAACCUUCAUUCUGCCCCUCCUCCCUUGCUAAGCCCUCUGACCUGAGACUCUCAGAACUGCAAUCCUGUCUCUGGCCACCAGGUGGGAUGCACCUCCAUUUUCCUUUUUCUUUUGAACACAUUGACCGCCACAGUAGAAAAAAAAUAUUU